rnacentral:rRNA from 2 species
UUUAAAGAGAGUUUGAUCCUGGCUCAGGACGAACGCUGGCGGCGUGCCUAAUACAUGCAAGUCGAACGAACGGAGGAAGAGCUUGCUCUUCCAAUGUUAGUGGCGGACGGGUGAGUAACACGUGGGCAACCUGCCUGUAAGUUGGGGAUAACUCCGGGAAACCGGGGCUAAUACCGAAU